CCGCAUAAAACCCUAGCGUCUCUCAUUUCCUCGUUCUUGUCACUUCUUCGCUUGUGUGCUCUCUUAAUCACGAAAAAUCAUGGAAUCAAAGCCAGAAGAACCUGUUGUUACUUACGUCUGCGGAGAUUGUGGUCAAGAGAACACUUUGAAGCGUGGAGAUGUGUUCAAAUGCAAAGAGUGUGAGUUCCGUGUUCUCUACAAGAAGCGUACUCGUAUUGAUCCAACAGACAAGAAGCCUAAAACACGGUACAUACCGGCGAACUAAAUACUAAUCGUUAAUCCUACCUUUUCAUUGUUGAUAAAAUUCUGUAAAACUAUAUAACUUCUCAACGAAGUUUCCUGAUCGGUGUUGUAAUCCCUGACUGGCGAUAUCUACUCUGAAGUAAUCUAUCUCUCUUUUGCUGUGUUCUCUUCUCCCAAUUGGUCAGCUUAUUCGGUGAAAAAGGGUACUUGCGAAAUGCCUUGUAGGAAUAGCUAUCAGAAGAGUGAAUUAGUGCUUUAGGAUCUGAUGAAUCCUUAGUGGUAAGAGCUAUGUUUGAACUAGUCUCUUUCUUUUCUCUUUGUGAGUUCUUCUCCUUACUCACCCCAACAUGAGUAACUCCUCUCCGUUUCUCUUGACACUUGUCUAUUACUUCGUACUCUCGCUUGUCUUGUCCUCAGUGUAACAUUUAUAUCCGUGUUGCUUUUGGAUUUCAUCAUAACCACAAGGACUUCUCCCUGCCAUGAAGACCUUUCUCUCUCUUUUCACUCGUGGUACUUUUAGUUUGAUCUCCCUCAAACACCAUUUCAUAGCCUUCGCAUCUCUCCUCCCAUGUUGCUUGUUU